AGCAUGUGUGUGGGGUUUUUUUUAACUGGUAGACAAAGACAUAAAGCAAAUUUGAAAAUAAACCCUCUUUUGCAAUCCAGAACUCAUGGUUCAGUAUGAGUUUUGACCCAUAUAAAAAAAGACUAUG